rnacentral:rRNA from 1 species
ACGUAGGUGGCGAGCGUUGUCCGGAAUUAUUGGGCGUAAAGAGCAUGUAGGCGGCUUAAUAAGUCGAGCGUGAAAAUGCGGGGCUCAACCCCGUAUGGCGCUGGAAACUGUUAGGCUUGAGUGCAGGAGAGGAAAGGGGAAUUCCCAGUGUAGCGGUGAAAUGCGUAGAUAUUGGGAGGAACACCAGUGGCGAAGGCGCCUUUCUGGACUGUGUCUGACGCUGAGGUGCGAAAGCCAGGGUAGCGAACGG